rnacentral:rRNA from 1 species
UACAGAGGGUGCAAGCGUUGUUUGGAAUUAUUGGGCGUAAAGGGCGCGUAGGCGGUGCGGUAAGUCUGUAGUGAAAUCUCUGGGCUCAACUCAGAGUCUGCUGCGGAAACUGCCGUGCUUGAGUGUGGGAGAGGUGAGUGGAAUUCCCGGUGUAGCGGUGAAAAUGCGUAGAUAUCGGGAGGAACACCUGUGGCGAAAGCGGCUCACUGGACCACAACUGACGCUGAGGCGCGAAAGCUAGGGGAGCAAACAGG